AACGAACGCUGGCGGCAUGCCUAACACAUGCAAGUCGAACGAGACCUUCGGGUCUAGUGGCGCACGGGUGCGUAACGCGUGGGAACCUGCCCUUAGGUUCGGAAUAACUCCCCGAAAGGGGUGCUAAUACCGGAUAAUGUCUUCGGACCAAAGAUUUACCGCCCUUGGAUGGGCCCGCGUUGGAUUAGCUAGUUGGUAGGGUAAAAGCCUACCAAGGGGACGAUCCAUAGCUGGUCUGAGAGGAUGAUCAGCCAGACUGGGACUGAGACACGGCCCAGACUCCUGCGGGAGGCAGCAGUGGGGAAUAUUGAACAAUGGACGAAAGCCUGAUCCAGCAAUGCCGCGUGAGUGAUGUAGGCCUGAGGGUUGUAAAGCUCGUUUACCCGGGAUGAUAAUGACAGUACCGGGAGAAUAAGCCCCGGCUAACUCCGUG
rnacentral:rRNA from 1 species